rnacentral:lncRNA from 1 species
UCAGGAAUUAUGAAGCUAUCUCUUAACCAGACCCGGACAUCAAGCCUACACGUCUUGACCCGUGCUGAAAAACCCAAUGUGUGAGGUUUUCGGAGGAGUUCAUUACUUCUUUGCCCGUUAUAUAGGCAGAUGAACACCAGCCGGUGAUUAAUGCAAAAAGUUGCUGCAGUAAGGUCUAAGCAUUAAUGUUUCCUGUUCAAGUUAGUUACUCAUCUACUGGCGAUCGAGUUGUUAAACUUGUGCAGCUGCAAGGUUGAGCGUAGCUGUUCAUGAGAAGCUUGAAGCUGAGACUAGCAGUACUGUCGGGAUUAAUAAUUAAGGGGGCUAGCUGAGGGUUAGGCUGAAUGCAUCUAUAAAAUUAACAGGAUGUUAAUGUUCGUUGAAAUCCUUUUACAACUUGUGCUGACUACUUGUGGCGGUUUUGGUUUUGGUUUUGCUGGUUAGGGAGGAAAUUUUCGCAGCGUUUCUGUCAUGUGUGUUUGUGUGUACAUAACUCUUUUAAGGCAAUCACUAUUACUAGUUUAUU